rnacentral:rRNA from 1 species
AAGUCGAGGGGCAUCAGGAAGAAAGCUUGCUUUCUUUGCUGGCGACCGGCGCACGGGUGAGUAACACGUAUCCAACCUGCCCUUUACUCGGGGAUAGCCUUUCGAAAGAAAGAUUAAUACCCGAUGGCAUAGUUCUUCCGCAUGGUCGAACUAUUAAAGAAUUUCGGUCAUCGAUGGGGAUGCGUUCCAUUAGGCAGUUGGUGAGGUAACGGCUCACCAAACCUUCGAUGGAUAGGGGUUCUGAGAGGAAGGUCCCCACAUUGGAACUGAGACACGGCCCAGACUCC